rnacentral:misc_RNA from 1 species
UACGGAGGGUGCAAGCGUUAAUCGGAUUUACUGGGCGUAAAGCGUGCGUAGGCGGCUUUUUAAGUCGGGUGUGAAAUCCCCGAGCUUAACUUGGGAAUUGCGUUCGAUACUGGGCAGCUAGAGUAUGUGAGAGGAGGGUAGAAUUCCAGGUGUAGCGGUGAAAUGCGUAGAGAUCUGGAGGAACACCGAUGGCGAAGGCAGCCACCUGGCCUAAUACUGACGCUGAGGUGCGAAAGCAUGGGGAGCAAACAGG